GAUGGCUUGCUUUCCAGAGCUGCCUUGUAUUUCCUAUGGUCUUCCAGCUCCACUGCCUAGGAGGCCUCACUGUCCUGAAUUCCUGCCCUUCCCACAAAGCUCAGGUAACCUAACAGUGUUGCCCGCCCACUUGCAUGGACUCACUUGAGGGAAUUGCUGCUGCUUGCAUCCAGGAGUACCCAGCAAACAUGAGAGACUCCCCUUGGGUUGUCACACACAGGCAGAGGUCUUAUGGAUAAUUGGUAGUGGGCCUGUCAGAGGCCUCUGGAGAGGGCAUACACUGACAGUCAUCGCACAGGAAGCCCUGGGAGAACUGGAGCUCCCAGGAGAGAGGCCUGGGGGCUUGCAAGCCCACCUUGAAGAAGCACAUUUGUCUCCAGUACCAUAUGGGCAGGGGGAAAAGCUAUAGGAAAAGUAUUUUGGCUUAAUGUAAAGAACUUUAUAGGAGCUGUACAACCAAGGUACAGGCUUCCUUGCCCGACUGUGAUUUCUGUGGCCCUGGAAUAUACAAGCAGAUCCUCAUAGAGAUUCCUCCACCGAGCAGGAUAUGGGGGCCUUCAAGAUCCAUUGGAUUAUUUGCCUAACAGUUUACCAGAAGAUAAUGAAUGUUCUCCUCCCAAAAAGACUUCUGGGGAAAGGAACACAAAGGAAAAUGUUUCUGAAGGCAAAAUCUCAGGAGCAGGGACAUCAAUGUGGCAAGUUUUGGCCAAGGACUUGCCAUUGCCCCUCAAAUUAUAUUGUACCUGGUGUGAAAGACCACCCACGAUCCAUCCCGCUGUGUGGAAGUGCCUUCCCACCAUCCUCAGCAAUCGUUUGCUCAUCCAAAGCGAGCCCUCCCAAACCAGUUGGGCUCGGCCUCCUGCUUCUUUGCAGCCUCUCUCCACGAUAAAGUGCCAGGUGUGGCAUGAGGGCUGGAGGGGAGAGUGGGGGACGUGGCUGCAGGAGACACCUACUCAGGCCCUUCACAGAGCAUACCCUUCUCUCAGUGUCGGCUUGGAGCUGACUUUUUUUUCUUCUCAUGACUCAACCGUCAUGACUGGGAAAGCUAUGUGAGCAUUCUUCAUCCCAGCCAGAAGCCCUGCCCUGCUUAAGCUGUUGGGGCUGUAGGAAUCUGCCCCUUUCUCGUGGAAGGUCUCGUAGGAGAUUUGUCCUUUCCUGAGGUCCACUUUGGAGCUACCCCAGUCCCCUUCAUGGUUUCUCUGGGGUGGAGGAUAGUGCUUUUCCCCUUCAGCUAGCGCCACCACUGAUGUAUCUUCCCAAGAUGCAUGUCUGAGAGCUGCAGUGGGGGAGCUGCGUAGGGGCCAGGGAUGGGGGUACACACUCCCCGUCAUGGAACAAGAGGUUUGAGAUUGGACAGGCCUGAAUUUGUCACUUCCAACAUGAGUUAGCUGUGUGGCUGGGUAACUUAGUAACUCUUCUGAGCCUCAGUUUCUGCAUCUAUCAACAAGAGGUGAUGGCAUCUCUUGUACUUGGUUGUUGAGACUAUUCCGUGAGACACUGUGUGUGGGAGCACCUAGCGUGGUACUUGGCUUUGAGUAGGAGCUCAGUGAAUACCACCUCCCUCUGCUUCCCACUGCUUCUUGGAACUCGGAUCCGUUCCAUCCAAAGCUUUCUUGGCAGCAACCCUGCAGCCACACUAGUGGUGGUGGGUACUGAGGGAACAGUCUCACUGGAUAGAAAUCUUGGCACCUUUUAGAACUUCCAGAGAGAUGCAGAGACAGAGUCAGAGGCCACUUGAUGCUAUUGCAGAGUAUGACUAGAGGAGUGAAUACUGGCCUGUUCACUUACUACCCCAGUGUGGCUGAAAUUCCUCCCAUUAGUCAUUUUCAUAUUUUAAUUGUCUUCUUGAGUCAACAUAUCCACUUGGGAAAUAGUCUGUGUAGUCUGUAGGCUGGAGUGUUGAAAGCCAUUUUCAAAGGUGGAGAAGAAGUCCAGCCAGUGUUUUGUUUAUCUUGUCCAGUGGCACAUCAGACACUUUAAAAAUGAGAUUAGUUGACUGACAUCUUGGAGCAGAGUCUCUGUCAUUUACCUUUCUUUUGGCUGGAGCACUGAGUAUGGCCCUGCCUGCAACAGGAAAUCAUCAACAUUUUUGAUGAUCCAGUGAGUGUCUGUUAAGAGCUCUGUGAUUCUGAUGCCUGCUACCUCAUGGAUGAACCUUGAAGACAUUAUGCUAAGUGAGGUAAGUCAGACAUGAAAAGAUACUGUAUGAUCUCACUUAUAUGAGGUCCCUAGGGUCUCACAUUCAUAGAGACAGCAAGUAGAGUGGCAGGUGCCAGGGCUGAAGGUGAGAUGGGGAGUCAGUGUUUAGUGCGGACUGAGUCUAAGUUUGGGAAGAUGAAAAAGUCCUGGAGAUGGGUGGUGGUGAUGGGCACACGGCAUUGUGAAUGUACUUAGUGCCGUAGAGCUGUGUGGCUGAAAUGGCAAAUUCUGUGUUAUGUAUAUUUUACCACAAUAAAAAAGU